AAUGCAUGGUGGGGACACUUUCUAAUCCAUUCUUUGAAUCUCUCCCAUAUUUCAUAAAUUAAUUCUCCAUCUAAUAGGGAGGAUGAGGAAACAUCAUUCAUAAGUCU